GGGUUGUGAGGUUAAGCGACUAAGCGUACACGGUGGAUGCCCUGGCAGUCAGAGGCGAUGAAGGACGUGCUAAUCUGCGAAAAGCGUCGGUAAGGUGAUAUGAACCGUUAUAACCGGCGAUGUCCGAAUGGGGAAACCCAGUGUGAUUCGUCACACUAUCGUUAACUGAAUACAUAGGUUAACGAGGCGAACCGGGGGAACUGAAACAUCUAAGUACCCCGAGGAAAAGAAAUCAACCGAGAUUCCCCCAGUAGCGGCGAGCGAACGGGGAGCAGCCCAGAGUCUGAAUCAGCUUGUGUGUUAGUGGAACGGUCUGGAAAGUCCGACGGUACAGGGUGAUAGUCCCGUACACCAAAAUGCACAGGUUGUGAACUCGAAGAGUAGGGCGGGACACGUGGUAUCCUGUCUGAAUAUGGGGGGACCAUCCUCCAAGGCUAAAUACUCCUGACUGACCGAUAGUGAACCAGUACCGUGAGGGAAAGGCGAAAAGAACCCCGGCGAGGGGAGUGAAAAAGAACCUGAAACCGUGUACGUACAAGCAGUGGGAGCACCUUCGGGUGUGACUGCGUACCUUUUGUAUAAUGGGUCAGCGACUUAUAUUCUGUAGCAAGGUUAACCGUAUAGGGGAGCCGCAGGGAAACCGAGUCUUAACUGGGCGUUAAGUUGCAGGGUAUAGACCCGAAACCCGGUGAUCUAGCCAUGGGCAGGUUGAAGGUUGGGUAACACUAACUGGAGGACCGAACCGACUAAUGUUGAAAAAUUAGCGGAUGACUUGUGGCUGGGGGUGAAAGGCCAAUCAAACCGGGAGAUAGCUGGUUCUCCCCGAAAGCUAUUUAGGUAGCGCCUCGUGAAUUCAUCUUCGGGGGUAGAGCACUGUUUCGGCUAGGGGGUCAUCCCGACUUACCAACCCGAUGCAAACUACGAAUACCGAAGAAUGUUAUCACGGGAGACACACGGCGGGUGCUAACGUCCGUCGUGAAGAGGGAAACAACCCAGACCGCCAGCUAAGGUCCCAAAGUCAUGGUUAAGUGGGAAACGAUGUGGGAAGGCACAGACAGCCAGGAUGUUGGCUUAGAAGCAGCCAUCAUUUAAAGAAAGCGUAAUAGCUCACUGGUCGAGUCGGCCUGCGCGGAAGAUGUAACGGGGCUAAACCAUGCACCGAAGCUGCGGCAGCGACACUAUGUGUUGUUGGGUAGGGGAGCGUUCUGUAAGCCUGCGAAGGUGACCUGUGAGGGUUGCUGGAGGUAUCAGAAGUGCGAAUGCUGACAUAAGUAACGAUAAAGCGGGUGAAAAGCCCGCUCGCCGGAAGACCAAGGGUUCCUGUCCAACGUUAAUCGGGGCAGGGUGAGUCGACCCCUAAGGCGAGGCCGAAAGGCGUAGUCGAUGGGAAACAGGUUAAUAUUCCUGUACUUGGUGUUACUGCGAAGGGGGGACGGAGAAGGCUAUGUUAGCCGGGCGACGGUUGUCCCGGUUUAAGCAUGUAGGCUGGUUAUCCAGGCAAAUCCGGAUAAUCAAGGCUGAGGUGUGAUGACGAGGCACUACGGUGCUGAAGUAACAAAUGCCCUGCUUCCAGGAAAAGCCUCUAAGCAUCAGGUAACAUCAAAUCGUACCCCAAACCGACACAGGUGGUCAGGUAGAGAAUACCAAGGCGCUUGAGAGAACUCGGGUGAAGGAACUAGGCAAAAUGGUGCCGUAACUUCGGGAGAAGGCACGCUGGUGUGUAGGUGAAGUCCCUGCGGAUGGAGCUGAGACCAGUCGAAGAUACCAGCUGGCUGCAACUGUUUAUUAAAAACACAGCACUGUGCAAACACGAAAGUGGACGUAUACGGUGUGACGCCUGCCCGGUGCCGGAAGGUUAAUUGAUGGGGUUAUCCGUAAGGAGAAGCUCUUGAUCGAAGCCCCGGUAAACGGCGGCCGUAACUAUAACGGUCCUAAGGUAGCGAAAUUCCUUGUCGGGUAAGUUCCGACCUGCACGAAUGGCGUAAUGAUGGCCAGGCUGUCUCCACCCGAGACUCAGUGAAAUUGAACUCGCUGUGAAGAUGCAGUGUACCCGCGGCAAGACGGAAAGACCCCGUGAACCUUUACUAUAGCUUGACACUGAACAUUGAGCCUUGAUGUGUAGGAUAGGUGGGAGGCUUUGAAGCGUGGACGCCAGUCUGCGUGGAGCCAACCUUGAAAUACCACCCUUUAAUGUUUGAUGUUCUAACGUUGGCCCCUUACCGGGGUUGCGGACAGUGUCUGGUGGGUAGUUUGACUGGGGCGGUCUCCUCCCAAAGCGUAACGGAGGAGCACGAAGGUUAGCUAAUCCUGGUCGGACAUCAGGAGGUUAGUGCAAUGGCAUAAGCUAGCUUGACUGCGAGCGUGACGGCGCGAGCAGGUGCGAAAGCAGGUCAUAGUGAUCCGGUGGUUCUGAAUGGAAGGGCCAUCGCUCAACGGAUAAAAGGUACUCCGGGGAUAACAGGCUGAUACCGCCCAAGAGUUCAUAUCGACGGCGGUGUUUGGCACCUCGAUGUCGGCUCAUCACAUCCUGGGGCUGAAGUAGGUCCCAAGGGUAUGGCUGUUCGCCAUUUAAAGUGGUACGCGAGCUGGGUUUAGAACGUCGUGAGACAGUUCGGUCCCUAUCUGCCGUGGGCGCUGGAGAAUUGAGGGGGGCUGCUCCUAGUACGAGAGGACCGGAGUGGACGCAUCACUGGUGUUCGGGUUGUCAUGCCAAUGGCACUGCCCGGUAGCUAAAUGCGGAAGAGAUAAGUGCUGAAAGCAUCUAAGCACGAAACUUGCCCCGAGAUGAGUUCUCCCUGAGACUUUAAGUCUCCUGAAGGAACGUU
rnacentral:rRNA from 1 species